GGAUGGUUGGGGGCGGUCGGCGU
rnacentral:miRNA from 1 species